AUACACAUGUAUAUAUAUAUAUACACACACACACACACACAUGUAUACACACAUAUGUGUAAACUUGUGAUGCUUGAAGAUUAUUGAAAAACACAAUUAGCAAAAUACUGUGAAGCUAAUUGAGGUAAUAUUGGCGUGAUGAAGUUUUGUAUUAAACGAGAACCACUAAUUAAUCUCUGGCAUAGACCAGGUGUGAUGAUACCACAGUUCAUUAAUAGUGUUUCAAGGAUAGAACUGCUGUGUUUUACCAGUAUUUUUGAUCAUCGAAUUAGUGAAAUUGAGAUUAAAAUUAAAAGAGACUGUACGAUGUUGGGGGUUUGUUACUGAAUAUUCUAAGAUUACUAACCAAUUCCUUUGCCUCACAUUGGAAAUCUAAACAUACAAUAAUUGAUUCAUAAAUUCUUCAGUUCAGUUCUAGAUUUUAUUAUUACGGUAUCACAAAUUUGAUUUUUUUUCUUUCUUUUUAAACUACCAAAUGUCUUUUUUUUGUUAUGAGAUUUUUACAAAGUUAAUUUACACGCUUUAACUCUGUGUAAGAAAUGAAUUAGAAAAAUAUUUGAUUUUUCUCCCCCCCCCCUUAUAAUCCACAAGCUUUAAAUUAUAUUUAAAAGAACCUUCACCCAACACAAACCAACCAGGUACUUUAGUAUCUGGUUGUCUCUCCUGAUGUUAAUAAUAUUAAACAAAUGAAAACUGAAUUGAGCAGAACCACUGCUGAUCAAUUGAUUUGUAUACUGUGAUAAAAGAAUGUAUAUUUGUAAAUAAAUUUUUCCAAAAUCUU